AUUGCCAUUGAGCAGAUGACGCCCUCCUUGGCCCUCUUCCCUGCAGGAAAAUCAGGUCCCAGGGCAGUGGUGGUGCUGGUGGCCAUUGUGGAUGCAGCUGCUAAGACCCUACUCCUGCUGCUCUGCCUCAUCAUCCUCAUAGUCAGGUACCACAGAAGGAAGUUGAUGAGGCCCACAAAGGGCAUGAAAGAUGCAAACACAGAAUCUGGUCAAUGUCUCAACUCAGCUCAAUGCCCGUUUCCUC